CCUACGGGGGGCAGCAGUGAGGAAUAUUGGUCAAUGGACGAGAGUCUGAACCAGCCAAGUAGCGUGAAGGAUGACUGCCCUAUGGGUUGUAAACUUCUUUUAUAUGGGAAUAAAAUGUUCCACGUGUGGGAUUUUGUAUGUACCAUAUGAAUAAGGAUCGGCUAACUCCGUGCCAGCAGCCGCGGUAAUACGGAGGAUCCGAGCGUUAUCCGGAUUUAUUGGGUUUAAAGGGAGCGUAGGUGGAUUGUUAAGUCAGUUGUGAAAGUUUGCGGCUCAACCGUAAAAUUGCAGUUGAAACUGGCAGUCUUGAGUACAGUAGAAGUGGGCGGAAUUCGUGGUGUAGCGGUGAAAUGCUUAGAUAUCACGAAGAACUCCGAUUGCGAAGGCAGUUCACUGGACUGCAACUGACACUGAGGCUCGAAAGUGUGGGUAUCAAACAGGAUUAGAUACCCGAGUAGUC
rnacentral:rRNA from 1 species